UGGGUCGGGCAAGAACAUCCAUGUCGGCUGUUUCAUGCCCUCAAGUGUGUUUAUUUCAGCUUGUGUUGCUGAAUAUUUCGAGUACACCAGCCACGGUCAAGACUGAGGGCUAUCAGAUACUCUAUAUAUAUAUAUAUAUAUAUACAUAAGUUAGAAGUAAUAAUUUUCCAGCAAGAAUAAAGGGAUACUCUAGCUUCUCUA